AAGAGUUAGGGUCCUCUGGGCCCGACCUCCCAACCCUUUGUUUACUGAACCUCUGUUGCUUCGGCGGACCCGUCUCACGACCGCCGGAGGAUCGCCCGUCCAGGCGUCCUCUGGCCAGCGUCCGCCAACCCUUCAAACUCCUGAAUAAAUCAUGUUAUAUGUCUAAGUCUUAUGAUUCAAAUCAAUAAAGCA
rnacentral:misc_RNA from 1 species